GUCCAUUCAAAUCUCCACUAAUGAAAACAUUCUCUUCAUUCGGUAUGCUUUGCAUUAAAUCAUCCAUAUCUUCCCAAAACCUUUGUUUACUCUCACUGUCUAGUCCUAUUUGUGGGGCAUAAGCACUAACUAUAUUUAUUGUUUCUCCUUCUAGUACUAGCUUUACUAGUAUAAUUCUAUCUCCUACUCUUUUCACAGCUACUACUGCGCCUUUCAAUGUCCUGUCUAUGAUUAUACCCACUCCGUUCUUGUUUCUCUCCUUUCCGGUAAACCACAAUUUGUAACCUGAAUUACCCACUUCCUUACUUUUCUCUCCUACCCAUUUAGUCUCCUGAAUGCAAGCAAUAU
rnacentral:misc_RNA from 1 species